rnacentral:rRNA from 1 species
UUUUACAGAUUUCUUCGGAAUGAAGUUUUAGUGACUGAGUGGCGGACGGGUGAGUAACGCGUGGGUAACCUGCCUCACACUGGGGGAUAACAGUCAGAAAUGACUGCUAAUACCGCAUAAGCGCACAGUACCGCAUGGUACGGUGUGAAAAACUCCGGUGGUGUGAGAUGGACCCGCGUCUGAUUAGCUAGUUGGUAAGGUAACGGCUUACCAAGGCGACGAUCAGUAGCCGACCUGAGAGGGUGACCGGCCACAUUGGGACUGAGACACGGUCCAAACUCC